GACUCCGUAGCUCAGUUGGUAGAGCAGCUGACUCUUAAUCAGCGGGUCGAAGGUUCGAGUCCUUCCGGGGUCA
rnacentral:tRNA from 1 species